rnacentral:rRNA from 1 species
CCUACGGGAGGCUGCAGUGGGGAAUAUUGCACAAUGGGGGAAACCCUGAUGCAGCGACGCCGCGUGAGUGAAGAAGUAAUUCGUUAUGUAAAGCUCUAUCAGCAGGGAAGAAAAUGACGGUACCUGAGUAAGAAGCCCCGGCUAACUACGUGCCAGCAGCCGCGGUAAGACGUAGGGGGCAAGCGUUAUCCGGAUUUACUGGGUGUAAAGGGAGCGUAGACGGCAGUGCAAGUCUGGAGUGAAAGGCGGGGGCUCAACCCCCGGACUGCUCUGGAAACUGUACGGCUGGAGUGCAGGAGAGGUAAGUGGAAUUACUAGUGUAGCGGUGAAAUGCGUAGAUAUUAGGAGGAACACCAGUGGCGAAGGCGGCUUACUGGACUGUAACUGACGUUGAGGCUCGAAAGCGUGGGGAGCAAACAGGAUUAGAUACCCGAGUAGUC